rnacentral:rRNA from 1 species
UACGAAGGGUGCAAGCGUUAAUCGGAAUUACUGGGCGUAAAGCGCGCGUAGGUGGUUCGUUAAGUUAGGAGUGAAAGCCCCGGGCUCAACCUGGGAAUUGCUUCUAAAACUGGCGAGCUAGAGUAUGGUAGAGGGUGGUGGAAUUUCCUGUGUAGCGGUGAAAUGCGUAGAUAUAGGAAGGAACGUCAGUGGCGAAGGCGACCACCUGGACUGAUACUGACACUGAGGCGCGAAAGCGUGGGGAGCGAACAGGAUUAGAUACCCCUGUAGUCCCUGAG